GACGAACGCUGGCGGCGUGCUUAACACAUGCAAGUCGAACGGAAAGGCCCUGCUUUUGUGGGGUGCUCGAGUGGCGAACGGGUGAGUAACACGUGAGUAACCUGCCCUUCACUUUGGGAUAACUUCAGGAAACUGGGGCUAAUACCGGAUCGGAGCUCCUGCUGCAUGGUGGGCGUUGGAACGUUUCGGCGGGCGGGGAUGGACUCGCGGCUUAUGAGCUUGUUGGUUGGGUAGUGGCUUACCCAGGCUUUGACGGGUAGCCGGCCUGGGAGGGUGAACGGGGACAUGGGGACUGAGAGACGGCGCAGAGUCGUACGGGGGGCAGCAGGGGGAAAUAUGGCACAAUGGGCGGGAGCGUGAGGCAGCAACGUCGGGGGUGUGAUGACGGUCUGCGGGGUGUGAACAGCUUUCGCCUGUGACGAAGCUUGAGUGACGGUAAUGGGUAAAGAAGCACCGGCUAACUACGUG
rnacentral:rRNA from 1 species